rnacentral:rRNA from 1 species
GAUGAACGCUGGCGGCGUGCCUAAUACAUGCAAGUCGAGCGAACGGACGAGAAGCUUGCUCCUCUGAUGUUAGCGGCGGACGGGUGAGUAACACGUGGAUAACCUACCUAUAAGACUGGGAUAACUUCGGGAAACCGGAGCUAAUACCGGAUAAUAUUUUGAACCGCAUGGUUCAAAAGUGAAAGACGGUCUUGCUGUCACUUAUAGAUGGAUCCGCGCUGCAUUAGCUAGUUGGUAAGGUAACGGCUUACCAAGGCAACGAUGCAUAGCCGACCUGAGAGGGUGAUCGGCCACACUGGAACUGAGACACGGUCCAGACUCCUACGGGAGGCAGCAGUAGGGAAUCUUCCGCAAUGGGCGAAAGCCUGACGGAGCAACGCCGCGUGAGUGAUGAAGGUCUUCGGAUCGUAAAACUCUGUUAUUAGGGAAGAACAUAUGUGUAAGUAACUGUGCACAUCUUGACGGUACCUAAUCAGAAAGCCACGGCUAACUACGUG